UACAGAUGAGGAAAGUGAUAUAUAUGGAGAGAUGAUGCGAUUUGCCCAGGGUUACACACUAUUCUGCAGAGUCAGAAUUCACAUUCUGGCGGUGUUACUUCAAGCUCUUAACAAGCUCUCAAGGAGCAUCAACAUUUAAGAAGACUACAAGGGAGCUGUCAGAAGGAAUGGAAACCAGGAGACUUCCAAGAAGGCAAGAGUGGCAAGAGAGGCAAAGGUUGAUGAAUUUUGUAUUGAAUCAGUUGAUAUAAAAGAAAAGCUGUAGAAAGAUUCUAAAAAUAUCUCAUCAGCGUGAAGUGUGUAAUCAGAACACCAUAGCUGCUUGCUGGUACCGAUGCUUGAGAAGGAAAACCUCACUAGUGUUGUUUAGAGAGGUCAUGGCGAGGUCAUGACUGCUGGUUGAACCUUGAGUUAGAUGGGAGUGUCCUUACCCCUCCCCUGUAGUUUGAAAUGUACAUUCCACACUCCAGUCCCACACUAGGGGCUAUUUUAAGAAUGAAGCCUUGAGAAGGUAAUGUGUUAUUGAGACCACCUGGACUGUACUCAUGGCUGAAUGCUGUUAAGGCUUCUAUAGAAACUUAAGAUUCUAGCAAGCAGGUGCAGAGAUCUACUCAGUUUGCAGCUGCGGGAGACAAGCCUCCUAUGUCAGUUCCCUUGCUUAUUAAACCCACCGCCUACCAAUCUGGCUUGACCCUUUCGUCCAUCCCUACUUGGCUUCUGUGUAUGGGAGCAGUUUCGUGUUUCACCUAGAGAAACUCCUAAGUUUGUGAACUAAGAAGUGUGGUGACAAUGGCAUCAGAAAGGUGUUAAGGUGACUCUUAAACUGACUUUGCAGCCUGAUUGUGGAAGAUUGAGAAUAAAAGAGCAAGAUAAUGCGAUGCACCUAUUUCCUAGAAAACGGAGGUAUCGUUUUAAAAAAAAAAUAGGGGAAUAAGCUGGUGUUGGGAAAAGUUAUACAUUAGUUUGAGGGCGUAUUGUGCUAGAAGUGACAGAAAGAUAUACAAAUGGAAUUACUCAGCAGAUAAAAAGUAAAUUUCUCAGUAGUCUCUUCAGAGUUUUAAGAGUAAUUGGCAUAGAUUGGCACAGAUUUUUGAAGCUCUUUGAUCGGAUGAGUUCUCCAAAGGAUAUACCUCAAGGGAUCACAGGGACUGAAGUUCCAGUGGUCUAGAGUUAAAGACAAGAGGAAGAGAAGGGGUAUAUGGAAAAAAAGCUGCUAGAAACUUUAAGGAGCAUGGGGCUGGCACAUUGUUUCAAGAAGUCUUCAAGACCCAACAUCUACGGGUCCAUCCUGCUGUACUUAGACCUCGACUUUCUUUAUCCUGGGACCAAGAAGGCUUCUCCAACCCCGGGCAUCACAGCUGUGUUCUGGUCGGGAGAAAGGGGAGAAAGUAAAAAGACAAAAAAGUAAGAUGACGUGUUAUGGCUUUAGCCUUUUCUGUGGAAAUAGCUUACUGCUUCUGACUGGGUUCUGCUUCUGCCUGUUACUGCUCUGCUGACCACACCAGCUCACAGCCUUUUGGAGUUUUGAAAAAGUAACCAACAAUGAGGAAUAAUAUGAGAACCUUUUACCUGCUCCCCUCCAUUUCUCUUUUCAAGUUUUACACUUUCCAAAGAAGAUAAGCAAUGGACGAAUGCCAUACGAAUAUCUAGUAGACAAAAACUUGAAGGUAGACUUAGCAUUUCAGAGAAAAAGAAACUCUUUGAAAUAUUUUUGACAGACCCGGAAUAUGAAUAUCCAAGAGAAAGAUAAGGCUAUAGCUGUGGGCUUUUUGGGACAUGGGCUAUUGGGAGUAAGUUCACCAGGUCUAGAAAUAAGUGUGUGUUAUGAUCACUGGGAGGGAAGUGAGGCUUCCCCUCUAUUCUCUUUACCAUUAGCUUCAAGUAUCUCUCUCGCUGAGGCCUAGAGUGGGGCUUCGAGCUGUAUGUGUCAUAAAAGAACAUGGAACUGGAAAGGAAAUGGAAGGCUUAAUUUACUGCAGUAGGAAAAAAACUGUUUCAGUUUGUUUGUUCUCCAGUUGCCAAAGUAAUUUUGUUGUAACUACAUGUGUAAGUAAAUAAAUUAGACAUGGUCAUCAUUAAAAAUAAAAGGAGUUAUGCUGGGAUUGUCAUGUCACUCAUUGAAAGAAGAUCUAUGUGCUUUUGAAACAAGGUAUGUUGUCAAGAAGUUUAUUAUUAAGAAUAAACUACAGGAAUAAUAAUAAUAAAAAAAACUAUAGGAAUGAGUACAACCUAUGGGCAACCA